rnacentral:lncRNA from 1 species
CCUACCCACUUGACAGUUACACUAGAAAAUAAUAAAAAGAAUUGAUGGUCCCUUGUGGGCCCCAUGUCAUCCUCUGCUUCCUCCUUCCUCUCCUCCUUUCUCCUCGCCACACAGCGUCAGGCGGAGCGGGCAAGCUCGCCGGCGUCGUCGGCCCUGACUCCUCCCUCUCCGUCUUCAUUCCCCCUCUCUUAUCUUCCAGCCGAUGAACUCCGACGAGCUGCACUAAGAUACGGAUAUGAUAUACUGAAGCUAAAUAUGUCCAUUUACUCAAAAUUUAAAUCGCACAUAUCAGAUAGCAUAGAAGUAUAUGGUAAGAAUGCCAGGAAAGAUAUUCCAAACACCUAACCAAUCACCCACAGUAAAAAGGACUAAAAACCUACUCCCAUUAGUCGAGCUUUAAUCUACCAGAUCUAGUCCGAAACCCAACACUACGAGCCCAAACAAAUCUUAUUCCAAACACCUAACCAAUCACCCACAGUAAAAAGGACUAAAAACCUACUCCCAUUAGUCGAGCUUUAAUCUACCAGAUCUAGUCCGAAACCCAACACUACGAGCCCAAACAAAUCUAGCAAAUCCCCGCCCGCUCUAAGCAUUUCAAACCAAAUCAGCUUUUUAUAUUUUGAAAAAAAAAACUGCACCGAUAAGAGAGCAUCAGCACAGAGCAGCAAGCCAUACGUUUGUCUCCUCUGAGGACCUUGUGGAUCAGCUCCUCACGGCCGAAGAGGCAGAAAACCUUGGCCUCAGUGGCCGCCGCCGCGGCUGCCUUCGCUCGUCCGCUUCGGAAUCCGACGACGGAGCCGGUCCCCUCCCCCGUUGCCGACGUGGAGCUUGUUGGUGAUCUUCUCCAUGAGCGUCUCCGGCUUGGGCUCGCGCCGCCCUCCUCCGGCCUAGAGGAGAAAAGUGUGUGCGAGAGAGGGC